rnacentral:rRNA from 1 species
CAGUCGCCGCGGUAAUACAGAGGGUGCGAGCGUUAAUCGGAUUUACUGGGCGUAAAGCGUGCGUAGGCGGCUUCUUAAGUCGGAUGUGAAAUCACUGAGCUUAACUUAGGAAUUGCAUUCGAUACUGGGAAGCUAGAGUAUGGGAGAGGAUGGUAGAAUUCCAGGUGUAGCGGUGAAAUGCGUAGAGAUCUGGAGGAAUACCGAUGGCGAAGGCAGCCAUCUGGCCUAAUACUGACGCUGAGGUACGAAAGCAUGGGGAGCAAACAGGAUUAGAUACCCCUGUAGUCCCUGUCUCUUAUAC